rnacentral:snRNA from 1 species
GGAUGUGAGGGCCAUCUGGAUGCGACAUCUGUCACCCCAUUGAUUGCCAGGGUUGAUUCCGCUGAUCUGGCUGGCUAAGCGGGUGUCCCCUUCCUCCCUCACCACUCCAUGUGCAUUCCUCCCUAAGCUGCGCGCUCCAUGAAAGAGGAUGGCCUUCCCCAAAUAGAGAGGGACAGAUCUUCGGUAGAGGAUAUAGGAGUAGCUGCGCUCCCCUGCUAGAACCUCCAAACAAGCUCUCAAGAAACUAGUUUUGGCACAGCUAUUUACAAGAUACUGGGUACUAUACAGCAAACCCUAACAUAAGGACUUUUAAAAGUU